UUCUCUAAGACAAAUAACUUAAAGUAAAACCUGCUCAGCAUAACUUAUAAACAGCCGCAGAACACCUGUGCUAAGGUAGCACAAUAAAUUGCUUUUUAAAUAAAAGAUAGAAUGAAUGGUAAUACAUAUAAAACCUAGUUUCCUUACGCUAAAUUAAGUUAAGAAUGGGGUCAAAACCCCCCUAAAAACAAGCAAGACGACAAGACCCUACUAAACUCAUCUUCUUUUGUUGGGAUAACAAAUUAAAAACACUUUAAAAACCCCAACACAUAACUCAAAUAUUAAAUAUAGUCUAGUUACUAUAGGGAUAACAGCGCAAUUUAUUUUAAGAGAUCAUAUCUAAAAAAAAGUUUACGACCUCGAUGUUGAAUUAAUUUUCCUGACAAAAGCAACAAUUUGCUCGUGGUAGUCUGUUCGACUAUUAAAAAAUU
rnacentral:rRNA from 1 species